AACAGAAAAAACGGUUGAGGGAGCGGGGAGAGACAGUUGGUGCGUGUGCAGCGGAAAGGACGGAGGAGGUUUAAGCAGGCAGCGAUGGUGAUGACAAGCGGAGGAAAGGAUCGGUGAGCUCCGAAACUGUGAAAUCACCCAGAGCAGACGAUACAGGAGAAGCGGGGAACUUACCAUUCACUGCCAAGCAGAGACGCCAUCUAUUGUGCCGAGCUCCUGGAGAGAGCAGAGAGAGGAGCAGAUUGUAGCUGAGAGCCGGUGGCCGCCCUCUUGUGAGUCACAGUGAUGCGGAAGGAGGAGAUUCAAUUCUUCACAGUAAAGACAGACAAGUAUCCAGUAAAAGACAAGUGAUACUGAGACAUCAGCGUGGAACCAGGGAAGUAUCGCUGCGCCCAGAGCCCCCUUUAUUGAAUAGCGUGAAUGGAAAGACCGCCUCCCCAUGUUGGAAUUCCGGAUUGCCCAGGAACGUCAGGAACAAGGACUUGUGCCCACCUAAAUUCCUAGCGCGUCUAAGAGUAUGCCAUAAUCUAUAUAUUGUCCAUAGAAGCGGGUUAUCUUUCAAUUCUUGGUCAAAUUCCGCUUCCACCCCGUGAAGGAAAGAUAUUAGGUUUCUGGACCCCACAAAUUGUGCCUCCAGCUGUGUAUUAGCAUAAGUGUCACUAUUAUGUAACCAGUCUUUUAAAAAUCUCAAUAAAGAAGCAUGGUUGUAU